rnacentral:tRNA from 1 species
GGUGGUUUAGCCAAGUGGUAAGGCAAGGGCCUGCAAAGCCCUGAACCGCUGGUUCGAAUCCAGCAACCAUCU